AUUAGAUCAGUUCUGAUAAGGAGCUGAAGCACUGAAAACAUGACUUCCAGUCUGGUAAAAGCACACUUUGUUACACCUCUGGCAGCAACAGAACACAUGUGAUCUGUGGUCAGACCUCCUGACUGCUGAUGCUCAGUCAGGACAGCACAGCUGUGGGCUUUUCGGGAUCAGGAGUCAGCGUCCUGACUUUUCACUGGAAUUGAUUCCCAUUAUGCUUGCAAAGGCUGGCAGUACAGAAAGAAAGGCUCUGCAAACACGAUUCGGAUACAACCAGAGAGAGCACGCUGCGUUGGGUCUGAUGACGUCAGCUGCACACUGAGACACCAGGAGCAGCUUCACUGGUUCCAGCUGCCUCAUCACUACCAUUUCCUCACAGCUCAGCUGGCUCUCUGACCCAUCAGAAUGAGCUGCUGAGAAGUAUCCCAGAAACCAGCACUAUGAACUCAACCCUGCUGAAAAUUGGUGGGCCAACAGGAGUCUCUCACCUUCAUGUGGUUGAAUGUCAGGGCUACAGCUCUAUAGUCACUGACUGAUGGAGGCGGUUCCUACCUGGAGCUCUGCUGCCUCCCACUGGGCAGAGACAGAGGCUCCUUGACCUCCUUAUCUCUGGUCCAAACUGGGACUCAGAGGGACAGACCGAGUCUGGACCAGACCAAUGAUGAAG